GGAUGCACCUCCCCCGCCAGCGCUCACUGGGGCUCACGGGCUCCGGCUCCGUGGCCCGGGGGGCAGGGAGGCCGCUGCGAAGUGAGCCGCCACUGGAGUCGCCGCCACUGGAGUCGCCGCCAGCAGCGCCGGCGGGGGGCAAGGAGGAGGCUGGAGGUACAAAGGCAGAGAUGAGCAGGAGGAAUGUGUCUCUAAGGUAAAGAUGAGGAGUAUCACUUGAAAAGAGUCGACUGUACCUGAAGGCAGUGCUCAGAACAGGAAGAUGUAUGCUAAUGUAUGAUCGAGGCUUGGCAGAAAAUGGCUCCAGUUUUAUGCUAAUGACAAAGCACUUACUAUUGAAAGUAGCAUUUCCAGCAGGAUAUUUCUCUAAAGAGAAGAGAACUCUCAGAUAACAUGGCUGUAGAAACAGCAAGUGCUAGUCCAGAUUUACA